rnacentral:rRNA from 1 species
CCUACGGGGGGCUGCAGUGGGGAAUAUUGGGCAAUGGAGGCAACUCUGACCCAGCGACGCCGCGUGAAGGACGAAGGCUUUCGAGUUGUAAACUUCUUUGGGGAGGGACGAAGAUGACGGUACCUCCAGAACAAGCCACGGCUAACUACGUGCCAGCAGCCGCGGUAAUACGUAGGUGGCAAGCGUUAUCCGGAUUUACUGGGUGUAAAGGGCGCGCAGGCGGCCCUGAAGGUCAGAUGUGAAAUGUCAAGGCUUAACUUUGGCAUGUCAUCUGAAACCAUGGGGCUUGAGUAUCAGAGGGGAAAGUGGAAUUCCUAGUGGAGCGGUAAAAUGCGCAGAGAUUAGGAGGAACACCGGUGGCGAAGGCGACUUUCUGGCUGACAACUGACGCUGAGGCGCGAAAGCGUGGGGAGCAAACAGGAUUAGAUACCCCAGUAGUC